AGCGGCCAUACCAUGCUGAAUAUACCGGUUCUCGUUAGAUCACCGAAGUCAAGCAUCAUUGGGCGCGGUCAGUACUUGGGUGGGUGACCACCUGGGAACACC
rnacentral:rRNA from 1 species